UCCGCUUUAAACAAGUUGUAACCUGAUUAAUAGGUUAUAUGGACACGUGUCAUCAUUUUAUUGGUCUAAAAAUAUAAUUUUUUUAAUUAAAAAAACCCCAUCCCCUCCAAUCCCCUCCCCAUUCUGGUUUGUGCGCCCCCUCCCCCCUUUCCGUUUGGCCACCAUGGCACUAUGGCAAACCCCCGAAACCAACACCACCUCAGCCACUACCAUUCCAGCCCCACCUAAACCCACGACCUAGCCCAGCACCAGUGCCGCACCACCACCCAGCCUGACGUCGAUGCCACCCCUUUCCCCUCAACCACCUCGAAUUUCCCCUCCAUCUCCUUUGCUACAGCUUCUUCCACCAGUAAUAACAUCUCACAUAACCCCCCUUGCAAAUCACUGCCUCACAAACCCACAACACCAGACCCACGACCACCACCUGACCACAGCCAGCUCCACCACAAUCACCCAACAUACCACAAAAACUAGCUCGCAAAAACCCUUUCACCUGCAAAAACCAGCCCAAAGUUGGUCGCCGCUAGCAUCUUUUUGGUUUCGGGUUUGGGUUUGGGUGUGGUGAGUGGGGGUGGUGGUCACGGGUCUGGGUUUAGGUGGGGUCGCGGUCUUGGUUGUGGUUUCGGGUUUGGGUGUGGUAGGUGGGGGUGGUGGUCACGGGUCUGGGUUUAGGUGGGUGGGGAUGGUGGUGGGCUAGCUCUGGUGAAGAAGGGGGUUAUUGGUGGUGGUUGGGCAGAGUGCCUAGUGACGGAGAAGAGGCAAAAGGAGGUGGGUAAGGGAGGAGGGUGAUGGGUGGUCGCGGGGGAGGAGGAGGGGCUGAUUCUAUUUUUUGUUUUUUUAUUUUGUUUUUUGAUUUAAAUGUUAAUAAAUCAUAAUUGAAGUUGUUAUUAAGAGUUAAUUACAUUGUUAAAUGAAUUUAUUAAGAAAAAAAUAAAAAAUUUAACCGGUUAUUCAAGCUGUAUGUUUAAAACGGACACCUUCAAAGGUCGUAUUAUUCUGAAAUAAACAAAAGGUGGACUUGUUUUUAGCGGACGGGUGAAAGGUGGUAUUAUUUAAAGCAAUUUUUCCUAAUAUCUUUUAUAAUGUUUCAUUAUGUACUAAUUACAUAUAUAUAACUUACACUUUAAUAUACGAAUUGAACCUGUCAAUAAUGUUAUAUCAAUUGAUCCUUAUAUUCAAAUUCAAUCCGGAGUAUAAAUUUGUUGAAGUUUUUAAAACAACUUAAUAUUGUAACUCUAAAGGUAACUAAAAAUCUAAAAUAUUUAUUUUUGUGAUUGAGUUCGUUGAGGUACUGAGUGAGGAAUAUAUCUUAAGUAUUAUCUGUACAAUAGUUUGAUUUGUUCCCUUAUUUUUUUUUUUUUUUUUUUUUUUUUUUUGUUUUUGGUGGUCUAAGGAAUUAACUGAAAUGGCUCUUCAAAUAGUGGAAAUAUGCUGCAGACGGCUUGCUAUGACACAAUUGGCGUAUCUCGAAUAUGAAGAGAAAAUUUCGAUGAGUGGUAAUUAAUUAUUGUUGCCUAUAAGCUGUUCGAUGAAAUGCUUAAGAGAGAAAUUUUGCCAUCUCAUAGGAGUUGAUGCAGGCAUUGUGUAGGAAGAGUCAGGUGACUAAAGCUAUGUAUUUAUUGGAUGAUGUGCUUAACAAGGGUUUCCUGCCCGAUACUUUGAGCUAUACUAGUUUGUUGAAUAAUUUGUGUAGGAAGAAGAAGCUUAAGGAGGCUUAUAAGUUGCUAUGUAGGUUGAAAGUUAAAGGGUGUAAUCCAAAUAUCAUACAUUAUAGCACGGUUAUGUUGGGUUUGUGUAGAGAGGGGCGUGCACACGAGGCCUUCAACAUUUUGGAUGAUAUAUAUUCGAAUGGAUGUUUGCCAAAUUUGGCGUCCUAUCGAACAUUGGUUGGUUUGGUUGAUCAAGGAUUGCAUGAUGAAGUGAAGUACUUGGAGGAAAUGAUCUCGAAAGGUUGCUUUCCGCAUUUUUCAAUCACAUAUUCGUUGAUUAAAGGUUUGUGUGAUGUUGGUAGGAUAGAGGUAGCUUCUGAGGUGCUUGGUGAGUUUCUUAAACAUGGGGAAGCACCAUAUACUGGUACACUAUAACACAGUUAUGUUGGGUUUGUGUCGAGAGAGGCAUGCACACAUGCCUGAAAAAGCCCUUAAGAUGCUCUUAGAGUGUAAUUUUAAGCCGACUUCAAAGCACCUAAAUCAUGUUCUUAGCUUGCUAUCCUAAUGGCACAAUGGAAUUUUCUUAUGCCUGCUUUUGGUCCUUUUAGGAUUGCAACCAAGUAAUCAUUGUUGUUGGCCACUUGCCAAUAUGUACCAUGUCUCAGUGGGAGAUGAGUAUGUAUGAAUCUGAAAAGCAAGAUAUCUAAUGAUAAAUUUUAAUUCUGAAACUGCUUGAAAAACUCAGUAUGUACAAAAACUCUACACGGGAUACAUAAGCUUGCCUAAACACUAUAUCAGCUCUUCUAUCACCCCUUUCCAUGAACAGGUAUAAUUGGCCUGAAAAUCAAUGAAUUCCCAA